rnacentral:rRNA from 1 species
CCUACGGGGGGCUGCAGUGAGGAAUAUUGGUCAAUGGGCGUAAGCCUGAACCAGCCAAGUCGCGUGAGGGAUGAAGGUUCUAUGGAUCGUAAACCUCUUUUAUAAGGGAAUAAAGUGUGGGACGUGUCCUAUUUUGUAUGUACCUUAUGAAUAAGGAUCGGCUAACUCCGGGCCAGCAGCCGCGGUAAUACGGAGGAUCCGAGCGUUAUCCGGAUUUAUUGGGUUUAAAGGGUGCGUAGGCGGCCUUGUAAGUCAGCGGUGAAAGUCUGUGGCUCAACCAUAGAAUUGCCGUUGAAACUGGGGGGCUUGAGUAUAGUUGAGGCAGGCGGAAUGCGUGGUGUAGCGGUGAAAUGCGUAGAUAUCACGAAGAACCCCGGUGGCGAAGGCAGCCUGCCAAGCCAUGACUGACGCUGAUGCACGAAAGCGUGGGGAUCAAACAGGAUUAGAUACCCGGGUAGUC